GACGAACGCUGGCGGCGUGCCUAAUACAUGCAAGUCGAGCGGACUUAAAUAGCUUGCUUUUUAAGUUAGCGGCGGACGGGUGAGUAACACGUGGGCAACCUGCCUGUAAGACUGGGAUAACUUCGGGAAACCGGAGCUAAUACCGGAUAAUCCUUUUCUACUCAUGUAGAAAAGCUGAAAGACGGUUUACGCUGUCACUUACAGAUGGGCCCGCGGCGCAUUAGCUAGUUGGUGAGGUAACGGCUCACCAAGGCGACGAUGCGUAGCCGACCUGAGAGGGUGAUCGGCCACACUGGGACUGAGACACGGCCCAGACUCCUACGGGAGGCAGCAGUAGGGAAUCUUCCGCAAUGGACGAAAGUCUGACGGAGCAACGCCGCGUGAGUGAUGAAGGUUUUCGGAUCGUAAAACUCUGUUGUUAGGGAAGAACAAGUACGAGAGUAACUGCUCGUACCUUGACGGUACCUAACCAGAAAGCCACGGCUAACUACGUG
rnacentral:rRNA from 1 species